UAUGUUAGAAAUAUGUUCUUUCAUUGAGAAUUAUUUUUAUUUAAUUUAUACAUUUAUUAUUUAAUUCAUAACUACAUUCUUUAUUUUAUUCUUCAUUUCAUUGAUCAUUUCAUUUGAUCUCAGAGGUCUUUUUGAUUCAGUAGAUGGUCCUGUGAAGAAAAACUUUUCAAAUUGAUUUCAUUGGUUCAUUUCAGUUUAGCUGAGUUGCUAUUGGUUAAGGCAACGCAUGUCCCGCCUCCUUCACGUUAGAGACGCUGCGGUAGUGUGUGAAAAAUACACAGAGAGCAGCAGGACGAUAAUUGAGACACAGAGGUUUUGGAGUGAUGAAACUUUAAAAAAUACACUUUAUAUUGUUAAAAGGAGGAACUGUGUAAACAGAGAAAAGUCCGGUUAACCACUGAAGCGACCCUGGGAACAUCUUGUGUUUGUUUUAUUAUUUUAUUGUCCCGGCUGGGUUUUUUGGAUACCCUGAGAUCCUGGACCGUGGAUGGAGUGAUUCUCUCCCUGACGAGGGGGAUGGCGAGCUACCCGCGUGAGCAUUUUGGAUUGAGGAGGAACCUUUCCAUUCUUCAUUCUCUGUCCUGCCAGAGUGGUAGGGUUGUGGGGAAGGACUUCCAAGAACUUUCGAAUUGAACUAUUUCUUUUGGGUAAAACAUUUUAUUUUAUUUAGGGUGCACCCGGUAAAAAAGACACUUCAAAUAAGAACAAAAGUAACUGUCGGCAGUGUAUGUAAACUGUUUAUUUUCUAUAUAUGUUAAUACAGUGUUUGCUUAAAUCUACCUGUGUGUUCCUCUUACCCAUUGCGGUGUCCAAUCUCUUCUUAUUACUUUGCCCUGCGAACCUAGUGUGUACUUACCUGUCAAGUGGGUUACAAUAACAAUGGUCAUUACUGCUC